GACGAACGCUGGCGGCGUGCUUAACACAUGCAAGUCGAACGGACAGACAGAGAGCUUGCUCUCUUGAAGUUAGUGGCGAACGGGUGAGUAACGCGUAAUCAACCUGCCCUUCAGAGGGGGAUAACAACGGGAAACCGUUGCUAAUACCGCGUACGAUUCAUGAACGGCAUCGUUUAUGAAUGAAAGGUGGCCUCUAUGUAUAAGCUAUCGCUGAAGGAGGGGAUUGCGUCUGAUUAGCUAGUUGGAGGGGUAACGGCCCACCAAGGCAAUGAUCAGGAGCCGGGCUGACAGGAUGAACGGCCACAUUGGGACUGAGACACGGCCCAAACUCCUACGGGAGGCAGCAGUGGGGAAUCUUCCGCAAUGGACGAAAGUCUGACGGAGCAACGCCGCGUGAGUGAUGAAGGUCUUCGGAUUGUAAAGCUCUGUUAAUCGGGACGAAAGAGUUCUGCGUGAAUAAUGCAGAAAAGUGACGGUACCGGAAUAGAAAGCCACGGCUAACUACGUGCCAGCCGCCGCAGUAA
rnacentral:rRNA from 1 species